UGGAAUUCCUGGUGACCGAUGAGAUGCGCAGAUUCAUGAGGAAUCCGGUGGCGAAUGCAGGACUCUGGGCUGUAACUUACACUGAGGAGCGAAAGCAUGGGGAGCGAACAGGAUUAGAUACCCUGGUAGUCCAUGCCGUAGACGUUGGGCACUAGGUGUGGGGGACAUUCCACGUUCUCCACGCCGUAGCUAAGGCAUUACGUGCCCCGCCUGGGGAGUACGGUCGCAAGGCUAAGACUCGAGGAAUUGACUGGGGCCCGCACAAGCGGCGGAGCAUGCGGAUUAAUUCGAUGCAACGCGCAGAACCUUACCAGGCUUGACAUACACUGGACCGUUCUGGACACUGUUCUUCUCUUUGGAGCUGGUGUACAGGUGUGCAUGGUUGUCGUCAGCUCGUGUCGUGAGAUCUGCGUUAAGUCCCGCAACGAGCGCACCC
rnacentral:rRNA from 1 species